GAUUGUAACGCGUGGAUAACCUGCCUGUUAGACCGGGAUAACUCCGGGAAACCGGAGCUAAUACCGGAUACGAAUUACCGAUCGCAUGAUUGGUAAUUGAAAGGAUUUCCGCUAACAGAUGGGUCCGCGUCCCAUUAGCUAGUUGGUGGGGUAACGGCCCACCAAGGCGACGAUGGGUAGCCGGCCUGAGAGGGCGACCGGCCACACUGGGACUGAGACACGGCCCAGACUCCUACGGGAGGCAGCAGUGGGGAAUAUUCCGCAAUGGGGGAAACCCUGACGGAGCAAUGCCGCGUGAGGGACGAAUGCCUUCGGGUUGUAAACCUCUGUUCUAUGGGAAGAGAAUGACGGUACCAUAGGAGUAAGCCCCGGCUAACUACGUGCCAGCAGCCGCGGUAAUACGUAGGGGGCGAGCGUUGUCCGGAAUUACUGGGCGUAAAGGGCGUGUAGGCUGCUUAAUAAGUUAGAGGUGAAAUCCCGUGGCUUAACCACGGGACUGCCUCUAAACUGUUAGGCUUGAGUGCAGGAGAGGGAAGCGGAAUUCCUGGUGUAGCGGUGAAAUGCGUAGAUAUCAGGAGGAACACUGGUGGCGAAGGCGGCUUCCUGGCCUGUAACUGACGCUGAGGCGCGA
rnacentral:rRNA from 1 species